rnacentral:rRNA from 1 species
CAGUAGCCACGGGAAUACGAAGGGUGCAAGCGUUACUCGGAAUUACUGGGCGUAAAGCGUGUGUAGGUGGUUGUUUAAGUCUGUCGUGAAAGCCCUGGGCUCAACCUGGGAAUGGCAAUGGAUACUGGCAAGCUAGAGUGUGUCAGAGGAUGGUGGAAUUCCCAGUGUAGAGGUGAAAUGCGUAGAGAUCGGGAGGAACAUCAGUGGCGAAGGCGGCCAUCUGGGACAACACUGACGCUGAGGCACGAAAGCGUGGGGAGCAAACAGGAUUAGAUACCCCGGUAGUCCCUGUCUCUUAUAC